CGCGGAGUGGAGCAGUUGGUAGCUCGCCAGGCUCAUAACCUGGAGGUCGUAGGUUCAAGUCCUUCCUCCGCAACCA
rnacentral:tRNA from 1 species